CCAACUCUCUUCGCUGACCUAAGCCUAAACAAGAAGCUCAUGUGCUAUCUUCUACGCACAAGAAUACUCCACGGGCCAGUUACCAAAUCAUGCUGUCCGAGGAUACCAGUGAAGAAGAAAGUGCAUCAACCCCGGUCACAACAAAUACUAAUAGCAUCGAUCGUCUACCUUCUAAAAGUAACAAGAAGAUGAGAACCGCACGCCGAACACUAUUCCCUGGAAAAUAGAGCAGCCCACACGCCAUUGCAGACUCCCAUCAUCACAGCAACACGAUGGAAUAAGUCAUUCUCCGAGUCUACGUUGCAUUGAACCUUGCCAGAUUCAGGACCCGUCGCUUUUGUCAUACACGCAGCUUGAUCUCGCAGCUGCAUGGAACUAUGUAAAAAUGCAUGGAACCCUCUGUUAUGCUACUCCACUUAGAUGCAAAUUACAUGCUUUUGUACCUUCUCACGUCUUCCUGUCAUGUAAUGGACAUAUUAUGAUCAUAUCAUAUAUCUAUCUACGUCGAACGAAGGCAGUUUACAUUCA